rnacentral:misc_RNA from 1 species
AAGUCGUAACAAGGUUUCCGUAGGUGAACCUGCGGAAGGAUCAUUAACACAUCCUUUUCUAUAUCAACAAUGGCGCACCGUUUGAGCCUUUUGAGAGGAGUCCGGCUUAGCAAUGGUUAGAAUCUUUUGUCUUCGGGCAGAGGUUUGGUUAUCCGGAUGGUCGCACAGCAGUUUCUUCGGAUCUGUUGAGGCGCAACUUUUACUCAUCAUGGUAUACAGUCUCUUACCUGGCUGGCCCUUUUUUUUAAAACCUCUUGAUUUUUGUACUGAUUUGGUUCGGAUCGAGAAGGUUCGCCUUCUCUCUGAGCUUGAUGGAGAAAUCCAUUAAUUAAUCAAAACACAACUCUUAACAGCGGAUAUCUCGGUUCUC